rnacentral:misc_RNA from 1 species
GGAAGAUAUAGUACUUUGCUUGCAGGGUGAAGAAAAAAAUAGAGUUUUAUAAGUUGAUCAGAAAUGAUUAAAGAUUAUCAAAAGUAAAGAUUUGAACGUAUGGAGUGACGCAAGUGCUGAAUUGUGCUAUAAAUGAGAGGAUUUUAUUUCUUAAGUGUUGAGAAGCCCUAUGGAUGUGCAUGCGCGUUAGGUAAUUCGGGUCCC